rnacentral:lncRNA from 1 species
CGCCAGCUAACCGUGAGCCUCGAUAUUGAAAUUCUCGAUAAACGAAUAUGUGAUACACGCUAUUACAUUAUACGUAUAACACAUAUACAUAUACAUAUAGUUUGUGGCUGAAUGAGAUCCGGUCGAGAAGCUGAUAACGUAUCGUGUACACGCACACUCCAUUCCGUGGACCGCCCCAACUCAACUUUUUUGAAAACGUGCGGCGAAGCAGCUGUCGUUAUAGUCGAAGGCUGGAGCAGCCUGCGCUGCAUGGACCUACUACAAGAAUAUAAUUAGUUUACCAAGAACGAACGGACGACUGGGCCCUGGUUAUAGUUCCGCGUGCCUGAGUGUGCGUGUGAGCCACUUGAGUCCCCCCCAAAGGCGAAGGAACGGUCCUCGGCUUACACCGGGCAAGCGAGUCGAGAGCCAGGGUCGUUUCUUUUCUAUCAGAAGCUUGAACAGCCACGGACUUUGUCUCGGAAACACGUGCGUGUCCCUCCGUAGCGAAAACGAAAUUCAGGAGCAGAAAGAAGACCUUCGACGAUGCAAGAAUAUCCAGCGGCUCUCAUCGGUCGUCUUCAUCGUUUCGACAGCGAUAUUCUCUCCUGAAUAUCCGUACUACGUGCGCAAGUGAUUAACUGCAAAGUGCCCAAAGUCCCUUAUCAUUCUCUAGCCCGGUGUUAAAUGUUCGAUACCUACUGGACGGAGAACUGAUAAGGGCCCGCGGGAUACGAACUCAUCGUGGGAAAUUUUUCAAUCAAUAUCGAAUCAAUUUUCUCUUUAGUUACUUUGAUUAUUGGUAAUCGUAUUUGUCUUUUUUUUUCGCAGGGCGUGAAAAAGAACGCCCGCGUUUUGUUCACGUACACAUAAUUACACUUAUACCCAUGCAUAUCAAAAAAAAUUAAAAAAAAAAAAAAUAGAAAGAACGAAAGAAAAUUCAUAGAGAACAAUCGACGACGAAUUGAAGAAUUUCUGUGCAGAAAAUUGGACGGGAAAACUACGAACGACGGUAUAAUUGAGAACGCGUUUGCCGUGACCGUGAACCUAGAACAGUUAUAAUAUCUUUUCUUACAUGCCAUUGUAAAUAAAGUAUACAUAUUAUAAUAAGAGGAUGAGAGAAACGAAGUCUUAAGCAGUAAGAGAUUAUCUAUCGUUGAACAUUGUAUGCCAACAAGAAUUUGUACUGGGUUGACACGCACAAAGGUCGAGUAAGUAUAGAGAUUGUUUAAGGGUAUGUCGUACUCCUAGAUUUAUCGAACGAGCAAACUCACAAUUUUUCUUUCUGUGUUAAAUAAAGAAAGAAACGGGAAGAGUUCGAAUUUUAACGGUGCAUCGUUCUUUCGUAGCGGAAUCCAGGAAAGUCAUCCGUAUCCCGAAACUCGUCAAGUAAAUGUGUGUGUGUGUUUUUUUUUUUUUUUUUUUUUGACACUUGUUAUUAUUCCCACAUUUCCCGAAUUUUAGGGGCCAAAAAGUGCAUGGUUGAGAUACUUUGGGUAAUUGCGAAAAGAAUGAGGAGUAAAAUGAAUCAUCGUGAGACUGAUUCCAUGCAAUAUUGAGAUCGUUAGACGAGACCUAGGAAUUACAAUAAUUUCGCAAGCUGUAAGUUUGCAAGUAUUAUAAAUUUCGACUUUGUAUCAUAUGUAUGUAUGGCAGUACCGAUGAAGGAUUCACCGCGACGCGCUAUCAUAAGAGCGAAACUUCGCGAUUUACAAGUCAAUGUCAAUUCAAUCCGUAUACGGAUUGAUGAAAAAACAAACUGUGUGAUAAAAUCGUUUGGUGUAUAAUAAUAAAUACAGAUUCGCUGGAUUGAAGAAUAAAAAUUGAUCACUGCGUUGUUCGCUUGCUCUUAUCUCUCCGACUCGCUUCAUCUACUUGAUUUUUUGCGAAUAGUAAUUUAUUGUUGCCGCAGCGCGUUGCGAUAUAAAAAGAGAACGAGAACCGAGGGCUUUGAAACUGAUUCAUCGUCGGAUACGAAAUCCUUCGCCUUCUCACGUACGUCGCGAUCGGGAAACGUGUACGUCUACCGAGAUAUUUGGCAGCCGCCGAGUUCUGAAGAGGAGGAAUAAAAAAUGAGUGCAAAAAAGGACUAGUCAGGGCAGUUUGGGAAACCCUGGAGUCAUUAUUACGACAAUCUGCGAGAGGCUGCUUCACAGACUUUAUACUACGCUUUCUAAAUUGCCAAAUCAUGUGCAUAAGUGAGCAAGUCUAUGAUAUACAUAUAGCGCAAUUCGGUUCGCGGUUAUUAUUUCGUCAUGUUAUAUUUUGCUUUUCAUGUUUAUUUUUGAUUAUUAUCCGGUACAAGUUUAAAAAACAAUAGAGAUCCAGCAGCGUUUCUUCCUUUACCGUACUAUUUCUUUUGCGCUAGAAUGCCGAACACGUGUUUUGUACUCUUUUGAAGUCUCGAAUGUUGUUUGAGGUACGCCGAAUCUAAUCUCGCACGUUUCGCUUAUACUGUGUUUAAGAGUUAAGUUCAAUAAACCGAAAUGAAGCUGAAGCUGGCAGCCAGUGUUAGCAGCUAAAUGUGUUCAAUUUUUUGAAAGUAGUAAAAUGCAGUUCAGUUUUACCCUCACAAUUCUAUAAAAGUAUUGGGCAAUAAAGGUGUUUCAAAAAAUUUUAACUCUCCCACUUUACUACCUUAUUCGAAAGAGAACAUUUUUUUUUCACGGAAGAAUAAUGAAUGAUUACAUUUUACAUUUCCGUGAAUAACAGAUGAUUUUGCACUUGUAUCUAAAAGUUUAAUUGCGCGAUCGCCGAAGUUUUUGGCUAGUUGUCAUUUAACAAUUUACAGUGUUUUUCGAUUUCAGCCUGACUUACAAAAUAUUACACGUGUAUUUAUGUAAACGGAAUGUUUUAAAUAAACAAAUAAAUCCCCUAUGGAAAGAUUUUGAAAAAUUCAACCCUUUACCCUUUCUUGAUUUCCUCCUUACUCGUACUUUUCCAAUUCAUCGAUGUUUGUAUAAAAUAUGUAAUUAUUUAGACAGGAGGUAAGUGAAUGAACGAGACGUGUAUACUUUCAUUAAACAUAGGUAUAUUUAUUACACAAUGUUAUUCCUUGCGUAAAUACAAUACGUCAUUUUAUCCCUUACGCGUGAUUUUAAGUGUCGACAAAUCUUGUAAAACGUAAAUACUUACGAAGCGCAGAUUGAAAAAUCGGUUAUCGGGAUACUCGAACGGAAACCCAUCACAGCAUGGGGCUGACCGCGAUAAUCGUGAUCAAUAUCGGCGUCCCAUACACGGAUGUGUAAAUAAAUAAAUUGGUGAAAUCGAUUCAUUCGUCAU